UACGAAGGGGGCUAGCGUUGCUCGGAAUCACUGGGCGUAAAGGGUGCGUAGGCGGGUCUUUAAGUCAGGGGUGAAAUCCUGGAGCUCAACUCCAGAACUGCCUUUGAUACUGAGGAUCUUGAGUUCGGGAGAGGUGAGUGGAACUGCGAGUGUAGAGGUGAAAUUCGUAGAUAUUCGCAGGAACACCAGUGGCGAAGGCGGCUCACUGGCCCGAUACUGACGCUGAGGCACGAAAGCGUGGGGAGCAAACAGG
rnacentral:rRNA from 1 species